rnacentral:rRNA from 1 species
UGGGGAAUAUUGGACAAUGGGCGCAAGCCUGAUCCAGCCAUGCCGCGUGUGUGAAGAAGGCCUUAUGGUUGUAAAGCACUUUAAGCGAGGAGGAGGCUACUAUAGUUAAUACCUAGAGAUAGUGGACGUUACUCGCAGAAUAAGCACCGGCUAACUCUGUGCCAGCAGCCGCGGUAAUACAGAGGGUGCGAGCGUUAAUCGGAUUUACUGGGCGUAAAGCGUGCGUAGGCGGCUAAUUGAGUCGGAUGUGAAAUCCCCGAGCUUAACUUGGGAAUUGCAUUCGAUACUGGUUAGCUAGAGUGUGGGAGAGGAUGGUAGAAUUCCAGGUGUAGCGGUGAAAUGCGUAGGGAUCUGGAGGAAUACCGAUGGCGAAGGCAGCCAUCUGGCCUAACACUGACGCUGAGGUACGAAAGCAUGGGGAGCAAACAGG